UAUAAGACUGUAGGAAGUCGUGCAACGCACCGUGGAUGAUUUUGUGGAGGUCCAUGGUGGUUUUCUAACUACAGAAAAGAAAUGCACACAGGCUUAUAUGCGUGGGAGUGGUCCCGCUGACCUCAUACCAAGUGCACCCACACUGCCGUCAGACCAUAUAGGGCACGCUUACAUGAACAAGUUGCAAAACAAUUUAUUACGACACUUUGGCUUUAGAUAAGCUUCGAAUUUUAACAAUAAAGUACUUUGCCUACAUGUCACAGUCUCAAUUAAACAUAUAAAGCGCAUUUAUUGAUGUGAAAUGAGGACGUUAAUCAGUGCACGUGUGGAGAGUUUGUCAUCCAGCAAUAAUUCUCAGCUAGAACAGUUAGCAAGUGGGCGACGAUGCGAUGCUAACCCAAUGCUAAGCUCGUAUGUGUUUUUUACAGCGCAUUAGUACAACGACGGAAGGGUUUCCCCAACUUUUGCUCACUUGGCGACGUCAACCUUCACCUCAACCAUCAGCUUGGACGGGAAAUAACUGGGGUGAAACUGUCCCCCGGUGAUGGAUGGUCAAAGCCAGCCGAGGGCACAUAUGAAUAGUGACGUCACACUUUCCCCUCUUUCUGAUUGGUUGACAAUCCCCGCUCCCUGCGCACGUUUGUCGUUUCCCCUCGGGCCCAUUAUCAGAUUCCCAGCGCAGGAUCCCGGCAGCUGCGGUUAUUGUGGAAGACUACGUUUAUAGCCCCAUGAUGUCUGUGACAACACCGGCUUUUAUGAUGGAUGGAGCGUACCUGUCACAACCGAGUAGCUCUGGGAGACGCUGGAGGCCAGGUCGGAGCUGCCGCUGCUGGAGAGGCUGGGCUUCACGUCUUCCAGGCCGGGGUUCAGGGACGGGACGCCUCCCGAGAGUUCCGCUGGACUCCGUUCAGGAGGUGCUGAUCCAAACUUGAGGUCACGUCAACCCGCCCUGGCCCCCGACUACUGUGGUUGAAGUCCCAACUCUCACCUAUGGUGUGUCCCGGCGUGGAGAGCGGCGUGACGGAUCCGUCGGGGGACGGGUGGAACUGCUGCUGGACUUUGGUGCGGAUAAUCCUGAUACGGACUGCUCAAAGAGAACCCAAACGUGGGGUCGCACAUCUUGAUGGAGGAAGGAUAUAGAAUACAUGCUAACGAAGAGUAGCACGGGAGGCAAUACAUCGAGAAUGAUCACAACUCCGAAAUUGUUCGACAAAGCUGCCGCGUCGUCUGCGGUCCUCAAGUAAGGAGUCAUCUUGAUGGACACCCGCACAUUAAGCUGCCGGCCGAGCCUUUCCCUUCAGCCGUCGAGAUGGAUUACUGAGGACCGCUGUUCAGACUGAGCGGAAGGAGGAAGAGGAGGGGGCAGCAGAUGAUGCGGGUCUGCGUGAGAGAUGCCACACCUGAUUACAGGUGACGUCAUCUCCGGUGGCAGAUACGUCCAACACCAUCUUUCACGAAACUUGACUUUGACCCUUUAAAGAGGCGUCCAAAUUGAAUGCCUGAGGGAAAACGUAUGCAAUAUCAUCCUUUCCUGAGGUGUUAAGUUGCUUUUUGCUUGUUAGCUCUGCCCAAGUUCCUUCAGAAACACGUCAAGGAAACAAUGUAGAAGGAAGUAAGAGAUAAAGUUGCUGCAGCUCUGUUUAUUUGCUGUGUCAACGAUUGAGAGAUGACACUGUUUCUAUGCGGGAGAGGAAGAGGAAUCUGGCCCGGCCGCAUUUCCUCGGGCCAAAAACAUCACUUGAAGAGGCUGAGGAGGAUUACUGACACUUUGUUUGAAAGCUGAAUAUCCUGUCUUUACGUCCAUUUACUGGGAGCUGAGUCAUCAUCAAUCACUCAUUUUUAAGUGGGCAAAAGAAGAAAAACAUUUCUUUACACUUAUAAAAUUGUGUAUUUUUAGGACAUAAAUUGGUAUUGGUCAAAAUCUUCUGUCAGAUGGGUGAAUGACAAAUAAGCAAAUAAUAAAAGAUCCUA